AGGAUGAACGCUGGCGGUCUGCUUAACACAUGCAAGUCGAACGGAGUACCUCGGUACUUAGUGGCGGACGGGUGAGUAACGCGUGAGAAUCUGCCCUUAGGUCGGGGACAACCAUUGGAAACGAUGGCUAAUACCGGAUAAGCCGAGAGGUAAAAGAUUAAUUGCCUAGGGAAGAGCUCGCGUCUGAUUAGCUAGUUGGUGAGGUAAAGGCUCACCAAGGCAUCGAUCAGUAGCUGGUCUGAGAGGAUGAUCAGCCACACUGGGACUGAGACACGGCCCAGACUCCUACGGGAGGCAGCAGUGAGGAAUUUUCCGCAAUGGGCGAAAGCCUGACGGAGCAAUGCCGCGUGGAGGAUGAAAGCCUAUGGGUUGUAAACUCCUUUUAUCAGAGAAGAAAUAUUGACAGUAUCUGGGGAAUAAGCAUCGGCUAACUCCGUGCCAGCAGCCGC
rnacentral:rRNA from 1 species